rnacentral:rRNA from 1 species
ACCGCCAUGCCACAUUGAAAACACCGGUUCUCGUCCUAUCACCGAAGUUAAGCAACGUCGGGCCCGGUCAGUACUUGGGAGGGUGACCACCUGGGAACACCGUGGUUGUAGGCU